AACGAACGCUGGCGGCAUGCCUAACACAUGCAAGUCGAACGAGACCUUCGGGUCUAGUGGCGCACGGGUGCGUAACGCGUGGGAACCUGCCCUUAGGUUCGGAAUAACUCCCCGAAAGGGGUGCUAAUACCGGAUAAUGUCUUCGGACCAAAGAUUUAUCGCCUUUGGAUGGGCCCGCGUUGGAUUAGCUAGUUGGUAGGGUAAAAGCCUACCAAGGCGACGAUCCAUAGCUGGUCUGAGAGGAUGAUCAGCCACACUGGGACUGAGACACGGCCCAGACUCCGACGGGAGGCAGCAGUGGGGAAUAUUGGACAAUGGGCGAAAGCCUGAUCCAGCAAUGCCGCGUGAGUGAUGAAGGCCUUAGGGUUGUAAAGCUCUUUUACCCGGGAUGAUAAUGACAGUACCGGGAGAAGAAGCUCCGGCUAACUCCGU
rnacentral:rRNA from 1 species